rnacentral:rRNA from 1 species
AUCGAACGCUGGCGGCAGGCCUAACACAUGCAAGUCGAACGAGUGGCGGACGGGUGAGUAAUGUCUUGGAAACUGCCUGAUGGAGGGGGAUAACUACUGGAACCGGUAGCUAAUACCGCAUACUAUCAGAUGUGCCCAGAUGGGAUUAGCUAGUUGGUGGGGUAACGGCUCACCUAGGCGACGAUCCCUAGCUGGUCUGAGAGGAUGACCAGCCAAACUGGAACUGAGACACGGCCCAGACUCCUACGGUAGGCAGCAGUGGGGAAUAUUGCACAAUGGGCGCAAGCCUGAUGCAGCCAUGCCGCGUGUAGGAAGAAGGCCUUCGGGUUGUAAAGUACUUUCAGCGGGGAGGCGUUACCCGCAGAAGAAGCACCGGCUAACUCCGUGCCAGCAGCCGCGGUAAUUC